CCCACAUAAAUCCCAGUAACACCCUUGCCCCCAACUGUGACAACCAACAAUGUCUCCAGACAUUGCCAAAUGUCCCCUG